AUAACUGCCUAAGGAAGGGGAUAACCCUGGGAAACUGGGGAUAAUACCCUAUAGAUUACCGAUGCUGGAAUGCCCGGUAAUCGAAAGUUCCGGCGCCUUAGGAUGGAUCUGCGGCCGAUUAGGUUGUUGUUGGGGUAACGGCCCAACAAGCCAGUGAUCGGUACGGGUUGUGGGAGCAAGAGCCCGGAGUUGGAUUCUGAGACACGAAUCCAGGCCCUACGGGGCGCAGCAGGCGCGAAAACUUAACAAUGCGGGCAACCGUGAUAAGGGAACUUCGAGUGCCUGUAUAUGCAGGCUGUCCAGGUGUCUAAAACACACCUGAAGAAAGGGCCGGGCAAGACCGGUGCCAGCCGCCGCGGUAAUACCGGCGGCUCGAGUGGUGGCCACUUUUAUUGGGCUUAAAGCGUUCGUAGCUGGGUUGUUAAGUCCCUUGGGAAAUCCGACGGCUUAACCGUCGGGCGUCUAAGGGAUACUGGCAAUCUUGGAACCGGGAGAGGUGAGGGGUACUUCGGGGGUAGGAGUGAAAUCCUGUAAUCCUCGAGGGACCACCUGUGGCGAAGGCGCCUCACCAGAACGGCUUCGACAGUGAGGGACGAAAGCUGGGGGAGCAAACCGGAUUAGAUACCCGGGUAGUCCCAGCCGUAAACGAUGUGCGUUAGGUGUAUCGAUGACCACGAGUCAUCGAGGUGCCGAAGGGAAACCGUGAAACGUACCGCCUGGGAAGUACGGUCGCAAGGCUGAAACUUAA
rnacentral:rRNA from 1 species